UCCAGGGUAGCCUAGUGGACAUGGCAUCUGCCAGGUAAGCGGAAGGUCGUGGGUUCGAUUCCCGCCCCUGGAC
rnacentral:tRNA from 1 species